UUUGUAAUUUUGUAAUUAAUAUUAAGCUGGUGCAAAAGUAAUUGUGGCUUUUGCAUUGUUGAGAUUGCCAUUUAAUAUCUGAGUACAUUUUUAAAUAUGUGGUUAUGUUAUA
rnacentral:miRNA from 1 species